UACAGAGGUCUCAAGCGUUGUUCGGAUUUACUGGGCGUAAAGGGCGCGUAGGCGGCCACCGCAAGUCGACUGUGAAAUCUCCGGGCUUAACCCGGAAAGGUCAGCCGAUACUGCGGGGCUAGAGUGCAGAAGGGGCAACUGGAAUUCUCGGUGUAGCGGUGAAAUGCGUAGAUAUCGAGAGGAACACCUGCGGCGAAGGCGGGUUGCUGGGCUGACACUGACGCUGAAGCGCGAAAGCUAGGGGAGCGAACGGG
rnacentral:rRNA from 1 species